rnacentral:rRNA from 1 species
AUACGGAGGGUGCAAGCGUUACUCGGAAUCACUGGGCGUAAAGCGCGCGCAGGCGGCUUGAUAAGUUGGAUGUGAAGGCCUACGGCUCAACCGUAGAACUGCAUCCAAAACUGUCAAGCUCGAGUCUGGGAGGGGAAGAUGGAAUUAGUUGUGUAGGGGUAAAAUCCGUAGAGAUAACUAGGAAUACCAAAAGCGAAGGCGAUCUUCUGGAACAGUACUGACGCUGAGGCGCGAAAGCGUGGGGAGCAAACAGGAUUAGAAACCCUAGUAGUCC